rnacentral:rRNA from 1 species
AUUGAACGCUGGCGGCAGGCCUAACACAUGCAAGUCGAACGAGUGGCGGACGGGUGAGUAAUGUCUGGGAAACUGCCCGAUGGAGGGGGAUAACUACUGGAAACGGUAGCUAAUACCGCAUACCAUCGGAGGUGCCCAGAUGGGAUUAGCUAGUAGGGGGGGUAACGUCUCACCUAGGCGACGAUCCCUAGCUGGCCUGUGAGGAUGACCAGCCACACUGGAACGGAGACACGGUCCAGACUCCUACGGGAGGCAGCAGUGGGAAAUAGUGCACAAUGGGGGCAAGCCUGAUGCAGCCAUGCCGCGUGUAUGAAGAAGGCCUUCGGGUUGUAAAGUACUUGCAGCGAGGAGGCGUUACUCGCAGAAGAAGCACCGGCUAACUCCGUGCCAGCAGCCGCGGUAAUAC